GGGGCUGUAGCUCAGUCGGUUAGAGCAUCGGACUCAUAAUCCGCCGGUCACUUGUCCGAUCAGCACCACCA
rnacentral:tRNA from 1 species